UGGCUCUCAUCAGUGUUGAAUUUACCUUU
rnacentral:piRNA from 1 species